CAGAGCGUAGCUAAGCUAGCUAAAGCAUCUCCCUUACACUGAGAAGUCGCCCGUGCAAAUCGAGCCGCUCUGA
rnacentral:tRNA from 1 species